AUUACCGAAGCUGUGGAUUGUCCUUUGGACAAUGGUAGGAGAGCGUUCUAAGGGCGUUGAAGCAUGAUCGUAAGGACAUGUGGAGCGCUUAGAAGUGAGAAUGCCGGUGUGAGUAGCGAAAGACGGGUGAGAAUCCCGUCCACCGAUUGACUAAGGUUUCCAGAGGAAGGCUCGUCCGCUCUGGGUUAGUCGGGUCCUAAGCUGAGGCCGACAGGCGUAGGCGAUGGAUAACAGGUUGAUAUUCCUGUACCACCUAUAAUCGUUUUAAUCGAUGGGGGGACGCAGUAGGAUAGGCGAAGCGUGCGAUUGGAUUGCACGUCUAAGCAGUAAGGCUGAGUAUUAGGCAAAUCCGGUACUCGUUAAGGCUGAGCUGUGAUGGGGAGAAGACAUUGUGUCUUCGAGUCGUUGAUUUCACACUGCCGAGAAAAGCCUCUAGAUAGAAAAUAGGUGCCCGUACCGCAAACCGACACAGGUAGUCAAGAUGAGAAUUCUAAGGUGAGCGAGCGAACUCUCGUUAAGGAACUCGGCAAAAUGACCCCGUAACUUCGGGAGAAGGGGUGCUCUUUAGGGUUAACGCCCAGAAGAGCCGCAGUGAAUAGGCCCAAGCGACUGUUUAUCAAAAACACAGGUCUCUGCUAAACCGUAAGGUGAUGUAUAGGGGCUGACGCCUGCCCGGUGCUGGAAGGUUAAGAGGAGUGGUUAGCUUCUGCGAAGCUACGAAUCGAAGCCCCAGUAAACGGCGGCCGUAACUAUAACGGUCCUAAGGUAGCGAAAUUCCUUGUCGGGUAAGUUCCGACCCGCACGAAAGGCGUAACGAUUUGGGCACUGUCUCAACGAGAGACUCGGUGAAAUCAUAGUACCUGUGAAGAUGCAGGUUACCCGCGACAGGACGGAAAGACCCCGUGGAGCUUUACUGUAGCCUGAUAUUGAAAUUCGGCACAGCUUGUACAGGAUAGGUAGGAGCCUUUGAAACGUGAGCGCUAGCUUACGUGGAGGCGCUGGUGGGAUACUACCCUAGCUGUGUUGGCUUUCUAACCCGCACCACUUAUCGUGGUGGGAGACAGUGUCAGGCGGGCAGUUUGACUGGGGCGGUCGCCUCCUAAAAGGUAACGGAGGCGCUCAAAGGUUCCCUCAGAAUGGUUGGAAAUCAUUCAUAGAGUGUAAAGGCAUAA
rnacentral:rRNA from 1 species